rnacentral:rRNA from 1 species
GCCAGACUCCUACGGGAGGCAGCAGUGAGGAAUAUUGGUCAAUGGGCGAGAGCCUGAACCAGCCAAGUCGCGUGAGGGAUGACUGCCCUAUGGGUUGUAAACCUCUUUUGUAUGGGGGGAAUAAGCUUUACGAGUAGAGUGAUGACAGUACCAUACGAAUAGGCAUCGGCUAACUGCGUGCCAGCAGCCGCGGUAAUACGUAGGGGGCGAGCGUUGUCCGGAAUUACUGGGCGUAAAGAGAGCGUAGGCGGCACUACAAGUCCCAUGUGAAAUACCCGGGCUUAACUUGGGGGUUGCAUGGGAAACUGUAGAGCUUGAGUACAGGAGAGGCAAGCGGAAUUCCUAGUGUAGCGGUGAAAUGCAUAGAUAUUAGGAGGAACACCAGUGGCGAAGGCGGCUUGCUGGACUGAAACUGACGCUGAGGCUCGAAAGCGUGGGGAGCAAACAGGAUUAGAUACCCCAGUAA